GAUGAAGAACGCAGCGAAAUGCGAUACGUAAUGUGAAUUGCAGAUUUCAGUGAAUCAUCGAAUCUUUGAACGCAUCUUGCGCUCCUUGGUAUUCUGAGGAGCAUGCCUGUUUGAGUGUCAUUAAAUUCUCAACUACACUGACUUUGAAUUGGUGUGGCUUGGAUUUGGGGGGAAAAUUGUUGUGGGCUUUUUGUAUAGUCUGCUCCCCUGAAAUUGAUUAGCGGUACCUUUGUGGAACUGUCUACAGGUGUGAUAAUUAUCUACAUCUUAGACAUCUGCUGGAAUGCUGCUUUCUAAACCUUACUUGUAUUGACAAUCUUGACCUCAAAUCAGGUAGGACUACCCGCUGAACUUAAGCAUAUCAAUAAGCGGAGGA
rnacentral:misc_RNA from 1 species